AAUCAACGCUGGCGGCGUGCCUCAGACAUGCAAGUCGAACGCGAAAGGCCCCUUCGGGGGCCCGGUAGAGUGGCGCACGGGUGAGUAACACGUAGGUAAUUUGCCUUCGGGUGGGGAAGUAACAGCCGGAAACGGCUGCUAAUAACCGCAUAAUGCAGCGGCUCGACAUCGAGACAGUUGUUAAAGCGGGGGAGUCGCAAGACCUCGCGCCUGAAGAGAAGCCUGCGGCAGANAGUCUUGUUGGUGAGGUAAUGGCUCACCAAGGCGACGAUCUGUAACCGGCCUGAGAGGGCGGUCGGUCACACUGACACUGACAUACGGGUCAGACUCCUAC
rnacentral:rRNA from 1 species